rnacentral:rRNA from 1 species
CCUUUGUACACACCGCCCGUCGCUACUACCGAUUGAAUGGCUCAGUGAGGCGUCCGGACUGGCCCAGAGAGGUGGGCAACUACCACUCAGAGCCGGAAACUUGUUCAAACUUGGUCAUUUAGAGG